GAUGAACGCUAGCUACAGGCUUAACACAUGCAAGUCGAGGGGUAACGAGAGGGAAGCUUGCUUUCCUUGUCGACGACCGGCGCACGGGUGAGUAACGCGUAUCCAACCUGCCCCCAACUAGGGAAUAACCUUGCGAAAGUAAGACUAAUACCCUAUAAUUUCCUCAGAUGUCAUCUGACGAGGAAUAAAGAUUUAUCGGUUGUGGAUGGGGAUGCGUCUGAUUAGCUUGUUGGCGGGGUAACGGCCCACCAAGGCAACGAUCAGUAGGGGUUAUGUGAGGAAGGUCCCCCACAUGGGAACUGAGACACGGUCCAAACUCCUACGGGAGGCAGCAGUGAGGAAUAUUGGUCAAUGGGCGGAAGCCUGAACCAGCCAAGCAGCGUGCAGGAUGACGGCCCUAUGGGUUGUAAACUGCUUUUAUACAGGAAUAAAGUUAGCCACGUGUGGUUAUUUGUAGGUACUGUAUGAAUAAGGACCGGCUAAUUCCGUGCCAGCCGCCGCCGUAACAC
rnacentral:rRNA from 1 species